GUGGAUGUAGCUCAGUUGGUAGAGUGCUUGCUUUGCAUGCACAAGGCCCUGGGUUCAAUUCCCAGCACCACA
rnacentral:tRNA from 1 species